GCUCUUUUCUCGGGACGGGAGAGGCCGUGUAGCGUCGCCGUUACUCCGAGGAGAUAUCAGUCGGUAGAGG
rnacentral:sRNA from 1 species